UCCAGACUCCUACGGGAGGCAGCAGUGGGGGAUAUUGCACAAUGGGGGGAACCCUGAUGCAGCGACGCCGCGUGGGUGAAGAAGCGCCUCGGCGCGUAAAGCCCUGUCAGCAGGGAAGAAAAUGACGGUACCUGAAGAAGAAGCACCGGCUAAAUACGUGCCAGCAGCCGCGGUAAUACGUAUGGUGCAAGCGUUAUCCGGAUUUACUGGGCGUAAAGGGAGCGCAGGCGGCGCGCCAAGUCUGAUGUGAAACCCCGGGGCUCAACCCCGGGCAUGCAUUGGAAACUGGCGGGCUGGAGUGCCGGAGAGGUAAGCGGAAUUCCUAGUGUAGCGGUGAAAUGCGUAGAUAUUAGGAGGAACACCAGUGGCGGAGGCGGCCUGCUGGACGAUGACUGACGUUGAGGCUCGAAAGCGUGGGGAGCAAACAGGAUUAGAUACCCCUGUA
rnacentral:rRNA from 1 species